rnacentral:rRNA from 1 species
CUACGUGCCAGCAGCCGCGGUAAUACGUAGGUGGCAAGCGUUGUCCGGAUUUAUUGGGCGUAAAGCGAGCGCAGGCGGUCAAUUAAGUCUGAUGUGAAAGCCCCCGGCUCAACCGGGGAGGGUCAUUGGAAACUGGUUGACUUGAGUGCAGAAGAGGAGAGUGGAAUUCCAUGUGUAGCGGUGAAAUGCGUAGAUAUAUGGAGGAACACCAGUGGCGAAGGCGACUCUCUGGUCUGUAACUGACGCUGAGGCUCGAAAGCGUGGGUAGCAAACAGGAUUAGAUACCCUGGUAGUCCACGCCCUAAACGAUGUCAAUUAGCUGUUGGGCAACUUGAUUGCUUAGUAGCGUAGCUAACGCGUGAAAUUGACCGCCUGGGGAGUACGGUCGCAAGAUUAAAACUCAAAGGAAUUGACGGGGACCCGCACAAGCGGUGGAUGAUGUGGAUUAAUUCGAUGCAACGCGAAGAACCUUACCUGGUCUUGACAU